rnacentral:rRNA from 1 species
GUAUAGCAAUAGCUACUUGCAUCAUAGUAAAUAUGAUGCAAGAUCGACUAUGUUGAAUAAAAUUCUAGGUAGAAUUAUGAUAAUGACAUUGUCUGCCUAUGUGUCUUGACCAAAUUACGUGCCAGCAGUCGCGGUAAUACGUAGAAGACUAGUGUUAUUCAUGUUUAAUCGGUUUAAAGGGUACCUAGACGGUAGAUCAAGCUUUCUAAUAAAGGAAAAGGACUAAUUUACUAGAGUUACUUAUGAGGGGGUAUUAAAGUACUGCUGGUGUAGAGAUGAAAUUCUGUCAUACCUCUUUUCAAAAGAAAAACCAUGGCACAGGUAUAGGCGAAGGCAUCCCCUUAUGUGAUAACUGACGUUGAGGGACGAAGGCUUUGUGUAGCGAACAGGAUUAGAUACCCCAGUAGUCGAAGCAGAAAAUGAUGAAUGUCAUAGAUUAGAUAUAUAAGUUUAUUCUAUAAAUGAAAGUGUAAGCAUUCCACCUCAUGAGUAAUUUGGCAACAUUGGAACUGAAAUCAUUAGACCGUUUCUGAAACCAGUAGUGAAGUAUGUUGUUUAAUUUGAUGAUCCGCAAAAAACCUUACCACAAUUUGAAUAUUUAUAUUAUUUAUUGUUUUAUUAUUAAUUUUCGUAUAGAUCACGUAAAAGAAAACUGAAAUCGAUGGUAAUAGUAAGAAAAUUAAUAAAGAGGCAAUAAGAUAUAUUUACAAGCGUUGCACGGCUGUCUUCAGUUAAUGUCGCGAGACUUUGGUUAGUUCCAUUAAAUUAACGUAAACCCUUACUUUAUUUUUAUAUAGAGUAGUUCCCCGCUAUAUUGGAUAUGAUAACAGG